GGAGGGGUGCGAGAGUGGUUUAAUCGGCUGGUCUUGAAAACCAUGCGUCUUCACCGACACGGGGGUUCGAAUCCCCCCCCCUCCGCCA
rnacentral:tRNA from 2 species